UACGGAGGGUGCAAGCGUUAAUCGGAAUUACUGGGCGUAAAGCGUGCGCAGGCGGUUUGUUAAGUCCGUUGUGAAAGCCCCGAGCUCAACUUGGGAAUUGCAGUGGAUACUGGCAGGCUGGAGUACGGUAGAGGAAGGUGGAAUUCCCGGUGUAGCAGUGAAAUGCGUAGAUAUCGGGAGGAACACCAGUGGCGAAGGCGGUUCUCUGGGCCUUACCUGACACUGAGGAGCGAAAGCGUGGGGAGCGAACAGG
rnacentral:rRNA from 1 species